rnacentral:rRNA from 1 species
AGUGAACGCUGGCGGUAGGCCUAACACAUGCAAGUCGAACGGCAGCGCAGUAAGAGCUUGCUCUUACGGGUGGCGAGUGGCGGACGGGUGAGGAAUACAUCGGAAUCUACUUUUUCGUGGGGGAUAACGUAGGGAAACUUACGCUAAUACCGCAUACGACCUACGGGUGAAAGCAGGGGAUCUUCGGACCUUGCGCGAUUGAAUGAGCCGAUGUCGGAUUAGCUAGUUGGCGGGGUAAAGGCCCACCAAGGCGACGAUCCGUAGCUGGUCUGGGAGGAUGAUCAGCCACACUGGAACUGAGACACGGUCCAGACUCCUACGGGAGGCAGCAGUGGGGAAUAUUGGACAAUGGGCGCAAGCCUGAUCCAGCCAUACCGCGUGGGUGAAGAAGGCCUUCGGGUUGUAAAGCCCUUUUGUUGGGAAAGAAAAGCAGCAGGUUAAUACCCCGCUGUUCUGACGGUACCCAAAGAAUAAGCACCGGCUAACUUCGUG